rnacentral:rRNA from 1 species
GAUGAACGCUGGCGGCGUGCCUAAUACAUGCAAGUCGAGCGAACGGACGAGAAGCUUGCUUCUCUGAUGUUAGCGGCGGACGGGUGAGUAACACGUGGAUAACCUACCUAUAAGACUGGGAUAACUUCGGGAAACCGGAGCUAAUACCGGAUGAUAUUUUGAACCGCAUGGUUCAAAAGUGAAAGACGGUCUUGCUGUCACUUAUAGAUGGAUCCGCGCUGCAUUAGCUAGUUGGUAAGGUAACGGCUUACCAAGGCAACGAUGCAUAGCCGACCUGAGAGGGUGAUAGGCCACACUGGAACUGAGACACGGUCCAGACUCCUACGGGAGGCAGCAGUAGGGAAUCUUCCGCAAUGCGCGAAAGCCUGACGGAGCAACGCCGCGUGAGUGAUGAAGGUCUUCGGAUCGUAAAACUCUGUUAUUAGGGAAGAACAUAUGUGUAAGUAACUGUGCACAUCUUGACGGUACCUAAUCAGAAAGCCACGGCUAACUACGUG